rnacentral:lncRNA from 1 species
GCAAGAAAAACUCGAGCAUCCCUGCCGCAGUAGAGGAGAAAGUUACAAAGGAGUAGAGACACAGUUUACAGGACCUCAUUCGCACUCCAAUGACAAUGAAAGGAAGGGGGUGUUGGGCAGAGAAGCAAAGAGCUCCGGUUCUCACCAUCACAUGGUAGCGGGUGUAAGUUUGUUCCCAACAUACCAGACAGAGAGCAACUCUCACCAGAGAAGAUCCCAAUGUGUUUUAUGCUAGAUCUGACUUUAAUUAAGUGUAGACAAUGCUCCCAUCAGUGCUGGAACUGGCCCCGGUAACUUGCUUUAGCUGAUGGAAUGUUACCAAACACAACAUGAUCAAAGGCUUGAGAGAUGAUUUCCCUCCUGUGCUUCCGCAAUUACCAUGAAAAGAACAUGGCCUGGUGGUCCCUGAUCCCCAAAGAAUGACGGACACCUGGAAAAAGCUUGGAGUAACAGAUUCAUGAGCAAGAAUAAAUAAUUAUUGUUUUAAU